rnacentral:pre_miRNA from 1 species
UUAACUCAAAUUUGUAUGUAGUUGGAACAGCGCCCCUAGCGGCAAGCGCAGGCAAACAUUUCAACUCCAUACAAAUUCGAGUUA